UUUUCUCUCAUGGGUAUGUAGAUGGUAAGCCUAAGGAGUGGUCGUCAGCUCACCAGGAACAGCCAUGGCACACGAACAAUAAGCCAAUAAUGAAGUCCACAAUCAAACUUCUUCUUCUCGUCUCACUCCGAGAGGAAGUUCAAGAAGAUGAUUAGCCACACUGGGACUGAGACACGGCCUAGACUUCUAUAGGAGGCAGCAAUGGGGAAUUUUUUGCAAUGGGCGAAAGCUUGACAAAGCAAUGUCAUGUGGAGGCAGAAGACCUGCGAGUCAUGAACUUUUUUUCCUAUAGAAUAAACAAUGAUGAUAUCUAGGGAAUAAGCAUCGGCUAACUCUAUGCUAGCAGCUGCAAUAACAUGGAGGAUGCAAGCGUUAUCCAGAAUGAUUGGGCAUAAAGCAUCUAUAGGUGGCUUUUUGAGUCCACAGUCAAAUCCCAGGGCUCAACCCUGGAUAAGUGGUGGAAACUACCAAGCUGGAGUAUUGUAAGGGAAGAAGGAAUUUUCGGUGGAGCAGUGAAAUGCGUUGAGAUCGGAAAAAACACCAACAACGAAAGCACUCUACUGAUUUAACAAUGACAUUGAGAGACGAAAGCUAGGGGAACGAGAUACCCUAGUAAUUCUAGCCAUAAGCGAUGGAUACUAGGUGCUGUGCAUAUCGACCAGUAUAGUGUUGUACCUAAUGUGUUAAGUAUCCCGCCUAGGGAGUACAUUCACAAGAAUAAAACUCAAAGGAAUUGAUGUGGGCUCGCACAAGUGGUGAAACAUGUGGUUUAAUUAGAUGCAAAGCGAAGAACCUUACUAAGGCUUGACAUGCCGCGAAUCCUCUUGAAAGAGUGGGGUGCCUUAGGGAACGCGAACAUAGGUGGUGCAUGGAUGUCGUCAGCUCGUGCCGUAAAGUGUUGGAUUAAGUCCCGCAAUGAGCUCAACUCUCAUGUUUAGUUUCCAUCGUUGAGUUUGGAACCCUCAACAAACUACUAGAGGAAGGUGAGGAUGACGGCAAGUCAUCAUGCCCCUUAUGCCCUGGGCGAUACACUUGCUACAGUUGUUGGGACAAAGGUCGCUAUCCAACGAGGGUGAGCUAACUCCAAAAUCAUGAGGCCGAAAUCACAAGUAAUCGCUGGUCAUCCAUAUGGCGGUGAAUUCAUUCCUAGGCCUUGUAUACACCGCCCGUCACAUAAGGAAAGUUAGCCAUGCUCGAAGUCCUUAAGUUAACCAAAAAGAGGAGGAUGUCGAAGGCAGGGCCAGUGAUUAAAGUCAAGUUAUAACAAGGUAGCUCUAUUGGAAGGUGCGGCUG
rnacentral:rRNA from 1 species